GAUGAACGCUGGCGGUGUGCCUAAUACAUGCAAGUCGAGCGAACAGACGAGGAGCUUACUCCUCUGACGUUAGCGGCGGACGGGUGAGUAACACGUGGAUAACCUACCUAUAAGACUGGGAUAACUUCGGGAAACCGGAGCUAAUACCGGAUAACAUGUUGAACCGCAUGGUUCAACAGUGAAAGACGGUCUUGCUGUCACUUAUAGAUGGAUCCGCGUCGCAUUAGCUAGUUGGUAAGGUAACGGCUUACCAAGGCAACGAUGCGUAGCCGACCUGAGAGGGUGAUCGGCCACACUGGAACUGAGACACGGUCCAGACUCCUACGGGAGGCAGCAGUGGGGAAUCUUCCGCAAUGGGCGAAAGCCUGACGGAGCAACGCCGCGUGAGUGAAGAAGGUCUUCGGAUCGUAAAACUCUGUUAUUAGGGAAGAACAAAUGUGUAAGUAACUAUGCACGUCUUGACGGUACCUAAUCAGAAAGCCACGGCUAACUACGUG
rnacentral:rRNA from 1 species